UCCGGCAUCGCCUCAGCAACCGCGGGGCAGCGGCGGGGCGGGGUUAAGUGGCAGGGCCGGCAGAUUAAAUUUCUCAUCUGCGGUGCUUUAUUUUCAGUGCACGCUUCUUGCAGCAGUAGCCGGAUGGGCAUUUCACACUCUGAAUUGCGCUGUGAGAGUUACUCACGGGCAGGCCGUGAAGCGUAGCACAAGCGUGAGAGGAAAGCGAAUGUCUUUACAAACGAUUUGAGGGGUGGAGUUGAAACAGAUCUGUCACCAGCAAAAGCUGUAAGUGGCAUGACAUUGGUAAAGAGAUAUGGAAAGACAACUGAACUGCUGCAGAUGUGAACUUCAAACAUGACAAGAUUUUUGACUGACAGAAAAGUGGAACAGAGGCAGAAUUCUCCAAGCACAGAAGAAGUAUCAGACUUGCUGGGCAAAGCAGAGGCUAUCUCUAUUUGCUGGAAUAAAAUAGGAAUACAGUGUUGGUAUAUUUGAUAAUGUACAUGCAAACCUGCAAGGAUGAAGCCAUAGCUUUCAAUUUUGCUCCCAUGUGUGUUUUUAGAACUACAUCUGCUUCUGUGACCUGUUGAGUCAGCUGACAGUGAGAUUUUCAAGCCUUCAAGAUACUGGCAAUCCUGGCACAGAGUGUUCUUAUAAAUUCUUCUAUCCUAGUAUAAAAAGAUAUAAAACAUGCAAGUUGUAGUUGGCUUCCAAGGACCAUGACCAGUGUUUUGAUAUUGUCUGAGCAAAUAGGACUGAAACAAGCUAUACUGCCAGGACAGCCAUGUCAACAAGAGUUUCUUCUGAGCUGAUGAAAAAGCCUGUUAGGUUAGGCUUGCAAACUUUCUCUGAACUGCCCAACAAAUGGUUUGAGCCAACUCAAAGCAAGAGUGCAAUUGAAUCAGUGCAAAUGCAUGUUUUAGUCCCAGGGCUGCUGAGCAAGAGUGUUUUGGCAUCAUGUUGGUAACUGGACCUUAAAUUUGAAAUUCCAGCUGAUUUGCAUGCUCCAAAAUAUAGGCAGAGCUUAGUGUUGGUAGAAUUUACCACCUCAUAGAAAGAAUGUGUUUUAUGAUGAUUUGAAAUAAUUUUUGUGCUAUGUUAUGUUAAAUUGUUUAAUGUAUUCUAAAUGUUGUGAAACAAGAUAUUUCAAUAUUAUAAUUGAGUUCUGGCAUUUUCCCUGUGGUUGAAAGGUCACCCUGGUGAUUGUCAAACAUCAUUCUGUUCUGACUGGUCUCUCCUUUGCUAAGUUUACUUUGUAUUUAUUGAGUAUGAUAUUCAUGGUAUAAGGGCACUUCAGUCAAGGAAUGGCUGUUUCAGUUCCACUGCCAAGAGCUUGACAAGUCAAAAUUGUAGGUAGUUUUCAUUCUGAGAUUUGUUAAUAAUUUUUUACUUCUAUAUUCCUCAACUUCUGUAGAGCUACUUGAAUAGCCCUUCAAUGUCAACCAUCAUACGUUAAAAGUAUGUAUGUUUUAGAUGUUUGCUUGACAUCUGGGCAGUUGACUUUUUAAUGUGAGGUUUUUUGAUCAGUUUUUACUCACUAUUAGUAUAAUACUAAUUAUAUCAUACUAAGUAUCAUAUUGCUUUUCAAAGUGAUUCUAGGAUCAGUCUCCUCACUGCUGUUAAGAAACUGCAUAAAUUAGAGGCAUUGGGAUGAUGUGCAUGGUUGAUGCUUGAGGGAUUGUGGGCAGAGCAUAGUUUAAGAGUGUUGUAAAUAGGUUAUUCCAUAUUCAUAUAGAUAAGUGCUACCUGUUGUGCUGUAAAGUUGAAUAUGAGUUGGAACAUGUGUAAGGAGACCAGGAAAGGGGAAAGACUUGUUUAAUCAGUAGUCUCUGAUGCUUGGUUAUUCUGCUUACAGAAUAAGCUUCUGAAAACUACUUGAUAAGUCAUCUGUGUUAAAUUGCUUUUGUUCUUGUUUUCCUUGAA